rnacentral:rRNA from 1 species
GACGAACGCUGGCGGCGUGCCUAACACAUGCAAGUCGAGCGGAGACAUUUGAGUAGCAAUACGAGGAUGUUUAGCGGCGGACGGGUGAGUAACGCGUGAGCAACCUGUCCCAAACAGGGGGAUAACGAACCGAAAGGUUCACUAAUACCGCAUAAGACCACGGAGUCACAUGGCUCAGGGGUCAAAGGAGCAAUCCGGUUUGGGGUGGGCUCGCGUCUGAUUAGCUAGUUGGUGAGGUAACGGCUCACCAAGGCGACGAUCAGUAGCCGACCUGAGAGGGUGAUCGGCCACAUUGGAACUGAGACACGGUCCAAACUCCUACGGGAGGCAGCAGUGGGGAAUAUUGGGCAAUGGGCGAAAGCCUGACCCAGCAACGCCGCGUGAAGGAAGAAGGUCUUCGGAUCGUAAACUUCUAUCCUUGGUGAAGAUAAUGACGGUAGCCGAGAAGGAAGCCCCGGCUAACUACGUG